UACAGAGGUCUCAAGCGUUGUUCGGAUUCAUUGGGCGUAAAGGGUGCGUAGGCGGCCUGACAAGUCGGGUGUGAAAGCCCUGGGCUCAACCCAGGAAGUGCACUCGAAACUGCCAGGCUUGAAUAUGGAAGAGGGUCGCGGAAUUCCCGGUGUAGAGGUGAAAUUCGUAGAUAUCGGGAGGAACACCAGUGGCGAAGGCGGCGACCUGGGCCAAUAUUGACGCUGAGGUGCGAAAGCGUGGGGAGCAAACAGG
rnacentral:rRNA from 1 species